GUGUCAUGGCGUCAAUUGCAAGGCCAGGGCCAAAAAAGGGAGCACUAGAUGUUUGCUAGACCACUAUGUUUUGCUUCUAUUUGAUGUGGACCGCUUAGAAAGAACCUGGGAGACCUCCAAACUACGCAAUGGAGGUGGUGACCUUUGAGGAUGUGGUUGUGAACUUCAGCAAUGAGGAGUGGACUUUGCUGAGUCCAUCCCAAAAGAACCUCUACAGAGAUGUGAUGGGUGAAACCUUUAGGAACAUGACUGAAAUAGGAGGACUUGGGAAUAUCCACGAACCUGAAAAAGAAUGCAAAAUUUACUGGAGAUACUUAAG